AGCAGUAGCCGCGGGAAUACGUAGGGUGCAAGCGUUAAUCGGAAUUACUGGGCGUAAAGCGUGCGCAGGCGGUGUUGUAAGACUGAUGUGAAAUCCCCGGGCUCAACCUGGGAACUGCAUUGGCGACUGCAACGCUGGAGUGCGGCAGAGGGGGAUGGAAUUCCGCGUGUAGCAGUGAAAUGCGUAGAUAUGCGGAGGAACACCGAUGGCGAAGGCAAUCCCCUGGGCCUGCACUGACGCUCAUGCACGAAAGCGUGGGGAGCAAACAGGAUUAGAUACCCGCGUAGUCCCUGUCUCUUAUAC
rnacentral:rRNA from 1 species